ensembl:lncRNA
GUAUCGGGAGACUAGGUCUGCCCCCUGCUCCACCUGCGAGAUCUCCAACCACAGAGUUGUCCAGCUACUCUCUCCUGCCACCUCCCCCUCCUCCUCCUCCUCCCCCUCUUCCUCCUUCUCUCCACACAAUGACCUCCAGUCAGGGGAAUGGCUACCUGCACAGCCUGGAUGACUUUGAGUCCAAAUUCCAGUUCCACCCCUUAAAGGACUUGCCUCCACCCAAAGAGUUCUGUCCAUUUCACGAAUGUACCCAAGCAAGAUGAAUCAAGUGUCACCAAAGCCUCCGGCGAUCAGGACUCACCUGCGGUGA